ACGAACGCUGGCGGCGUGCUUAACACAUGCAAGUCGAACGGAAAGGCCCCCUUGUGGGGUACUCGAGUGGCGAACGGGUGAGUAACACGUGAGUAACCUACCCUUGACUUUGGGAUAACUUCAGGAAACUGGGGCUAAUACCGGAUAGGAGCUCCUGCUGCAUGGUGGGGGUUGGAAAGUUUCGGCGGUUGGGGAUGGACUCGCGGCUUAUCAGCUUGUUGGUGGGGUAGUGGCUCACCAAGGCUUUGACGGGUAGCCGGCCUGAGAGGGUGACCGGCCACAUUGGGACUGAGAUACGGCCCAGACUCCUACGGGAGGCAGCAGUGGGGAAUAUUGCACAAUGGGCGGAAGCCUGAUGCAGCAACGCCGCGUGCGGGAUGACGGCCUUCGGGUUGUAAACCGCUUUCGCCUGUGACGAAGCGUGAGUGACGGUAAUGGGUAAAGAAGCACCGGCUAACUACGUG
rnacentral:rRNA from 1 species